rnacentral:rRNA from 1 species
UACGGAGGGUGCAAGCGUUAUCCGGAUUUACUGGGUGUAAAGGGUGUGUAGGCGGGCUUUUAAGUCAGUGGUGAAAUCUCCGGGCUCAACCCGGAAACUGCCAUUGAUACUAUUAGUCUUGAAUUUUGUUGAGGUAGGCGGAAUAAGUCAUGUAGCGGUGAAAUGCAUAGAUAUGACUUAGAACACCAAUUGCGAAGGCAGCUUGCUAAACAAAUAUUGACGCUGAGACACGAAAGCGUGGGGAUCAAACAGG